rnacentral:misc_RNA from 1 species
AACGCACAUUGCGCCCGCCAGCAUCCUGGCGGGCAUGCCUGUUCGAGCGUCAUUUCCACCCUCAGGCCCUGCCUGGUGUUGGGGGCCUGCGCCUGCAGCCCCUGAAAGACAGCGGCGGUCCCGUACCGGCCCUGAGCGUAGUACUAUACGUCGCUCCGGGCGCCGGGCGGGCACCGGCCGUAAGCCUUUUUUCUCAAGGUUGACCUCGGAUCAGGUAGGAAUACCCGCUGAACUUAA